rnacentral:rRNA from 1 species
CCCUUAGAGUUUGAUCCUGGCUCAGAACGAACGUUGGCGGCAUGGAUUAGGCAUGCAAGUCGCGGGAAUCCCAGCAAUGGGGGAACCGGCGUAAGGGGCAGUAAGGCAUGGGUACCUACCCCGGGGUUCGGGAUAGCCACCAGAGAUGGUGGGUAAUACCGGAUGACCUCGAGAGAGCAAAGGUCCGCCGCCCUGGGAGGGGCCCAUGUGAUAUUAGCUAGUUGGUGGGGUAACGGCUCACCAAGGCGAAGAUGUCUAGCGGGUGUGAGAGCACGACCCGCGCCACUCGCACUGAGACACUGGCGAGACACCUACGGGUGGCUGCAGUCGAGGAUCUUCGGCAAUGGGGGCAACCCUGACCGAGCGAUGCCGCGUGCGCGAUGAAGGCCUUCGGGUUGUAAAGCGCGAAAGAGGGGAGAAAAGCCCGCAAGGGUGUGAUCUAUCCUCAGUAAGCUCGGGCUAAGUUCGUGCCAGCAGCCGCGGUAAGACGAACCGAGCGAACGUUGUUCGGAAUCACUGGGCUUAAAGGGCGCGUAGGCGGGCUGUCAAGUUUGGGGUGAAAUCCCGCGGCUCAACCGUGGAACUGCCUCAAAUACUGACGGUCUCGAGGGGGGUAGGGGCGAGCGGAACUGUGAGUGGAGCGGUGAAAUGCGUUGAUAUUCACAGGAACUCCGGUGGCGAAAGCGGCUCGCUGGACCUUUUCUGACGCUGAGGCGCGAAAG